UACGUAGGGAGCAAGCGUUGUCCGGAAUCAUUGGGCGUAAAGCGCGCGUAGGUGGCCCAGUAAGUCCGUUUCUGAAAGUCACAGGCUCAACCUGUGAAAGCGGAUGGAUACUGCUGGGCUAGAGUCCGGAAGAGGCGAGUGGAAUUCCUGGUGUAGCGGUGAAAUGCGUAGAGAUCAUGAGGAAGACCAGUGGCGAAGGCGGGUCUCUGGACAGUUCCUGACACUGAGGCACGAAGGCCAGGGGAGCAAACGGG
rnacentral:rRNA from 1 species